GGCAAGAUGGCCGAGCGGUCUAAGGCGCUACGUUCAGGAUGCACUUCCACAAAGUCAAUUAAUUCUUCGUAGUCUCGCAAGAGGCGAGGGUUCGAAUCCCUCUCUUGUCA